UGGAGCUGCUCUUUCUGCUCUGCCCAACAUCCCGAAGACCGUCCUACCACAUACCGCUAGCCCAGGAAAAGAUCAAAGUCCAGACUUCAAAGUGAGGUUUCUACUGAAUGCGUUUGGCUUUGGCACCAUCAUAAAGUUGAACAACUGUCAGUUGAACGGCCAUAAGUGGGGGACUUGUGUCUGGAUUCAUUUUUCUGAGGAUUUACUAUGUCACCUCCACCAGAAGCAGCAAUGUAAACACAACCAUCAGGAGUGCUCACAGCAGAAAGAAGGGAUGUGAAGAUCUGGUUCUUCAAAGUAAGAAGAGUGGACAUCAUGGGGUGAAGUAUCAAGAUAACCAUGGACAUCCUGGGUUAUGAAGGAGUGUGGAAGAGAGACCCUAGACAUCCUUUAGGAAAUUGUCCUGAUGAAGGAAUGAGCUUGACUAUUUUUCCUUUCCAUCAUUGGGACCCAGGUUUAUCAACUGCAAACUUAUUCUGAAAGCCAGCUACCAUGUCAUGAUCAAUCUUGUGAAGAGGCUCAUGUGGCUGGGAAUGAAGUUUUUCUAACACAGCCUAUAGAGGACUCCUUGAUGCUUCCUUCCAAUGGGCAUGUAGAAUGAGCCAUAUUGAAAACAGAUCCUCCAGUCCCAGUCAAGGUUUCAGCUGACAGCAACCCCAACAGAAAGCUUGACUGAAAUGUCAUGAGAGACCUUAAGCCAGAACAAUCCAGCUAAGUUACUUCCGAAUUCUUGAACUUUAGUAAUUGUGUGAGAUAAUAAAUGUUGUUUUAAGCUGGUAAGCAUUCAGACAGAAAUGUAUUGUGUAACAACAGGUAACUAAUACAGACCAUUAUGUUCUCAGAAGGGUCCAUGACCCAAAAGAGGAAUAAGAACCCUGGUAUGCAUAAUGUUCAUAUUUCUAUUAGCAUUUAUCACUGUGUAUCAUUAUUUGCUUGUCAGGUUCCCCUCGAUAUAAGCCACUUCAAAACUACAAAAUUGCAUUCAUCAUUAUAUAUUCAGCACCUACCACAGAGCUGGAAAUAUAAUAGACAGGUUAAAAAAAUAUUUUUUUUACUAAAUGAAAGUUUACCUUUUAUCUGGAACUUGAUGCAAAUGCUGGCUUAUAGGAAAGAUUCAAGUCACUAGACAACCCUCUUAGGGGCUUUAGAUGCUGUGGCACAUUUACAGAGAAGGACUAGAGAAUUCCAAGGUAUCUGAGAAUUUAAAGUUCUCCUAGUAAAAGAGACAUAGAAAAAUAAUAUGUAUAUGAAAAACAUUGUUAUUGAAAGGAUGAUGGCACUUUCUUUCCCUCUCAACAGAAUCUGGACCUAUGCCUUCUAUGAUGUGAGAAUGAGAGAAAAACAACCUACAGUCAUUUUGAGAUGACUGGGUUAUCAGUGAAAAAGGACAUUGGAAAUUAGGUACCUCACUGGAAGCACGAUAGUCCUGGCUUGAAAUCCUUCACUGAGACUCUGUCUGCAACAUCCCAUCAGCCGGAGUGAGUCACAAGGCCAAGCCCCAGGCCCGAGAGUGGGGAUUUGUACCUUGUCCACAGUGGGAGAACACCACAAAGAUGCAUAACAAAGGGUAUGGAUAAA